CCCACUUGAACUCACUCAUUGCUUUGUACACAGAGGUACAUCCCACUUGAACUCACUCAUAGCUUUGUACACAGAGGUACAUCCCACUUGAACUCACGCAUUGCUUUUAUCUUCAAAAAAGCAUAAUGUUUUAUAAACAAACGUCUACCAAUGCAGCACCAUGCUUGAUAUAAAACACUUUGUUUAACUAUAAGAGAUGUCGCCUUCCUGAAAAACAGGAAGUAAUAAUUUGAAAAAAGAGUUUGGAAUUAUGCCUGGGCUAGACAGGAAGUCUCCAGAAAGUAACGACUCCAUGGGGCUUUCAGAGUUCCUUUAUCCAAAUGGAACAAUGUGACCUUAGAAAAUAAGAGACCAAGAUAUUUAGGAUCAAAAAUGAUUUUAUUGAUGGGAAAAGCUGCCUUUCAUUCAGCAUAUUCAGGCAGAAUUAUUAUUAUUUUUUACACAGGCAAAGAUGCAGUCUUUCACCAGUUUAUCUUUUUAGAUAAAACAAAAAAGACCAAUUAAAGUACAGUGGAUGUGCCAGAGUCCAUAUAAGAUACGGUAUUAUUUUAAUGGUCAGAUCAAGUCUGAAAUUCGACUUGAGUCACAGCAGCUCCAUUUGCAACAUCAACAAUGACAGAUAUUAAGACACAAUAAAAAAAAUAAAAAACAUU